rnacentral:lncRNA from 1 species
GGAAUGUUUGGCUUUUUGUACCUAACAGUUCUUCUCUCACACACUCAUUCCCUCUCCUUUCUCUCUCUCCUUCUCUCUCAUUGUUUUUCUUUCUUUUCUUUCUCUCUCCUCUCCCUUUCUUUCUCCUCUUUAUCUCUCCUUUUUUCUCUCUCCUUCUCUCAUUGUUCCUUUCUCCCUCUCUCCUUCUCUUUCAUUGUUUUUCUUUCUUUUCUUUCUCUCUCCUCUCAAUUUCUUUCUCUUUAUCUCUCUCCUUCUCUCUCAUUGUUUCUUUCUCCUUUUUCUCUCUCUCCUUCUCUCUCAUUGUUUCUUUCUCCUCGUUCUCUUCUUCUCUCUCAUUGUUUCUUUCUCCUUUCUCUCUCUCCUUUUCUCUCUUUCUUUCUCCUCUUUCUCUUCUCUCAUUUUUCUCCUCUUUCUCUCUAUCCUUCUCUUUCAUUGUUUCUUUCUUCUCUUUCUCUCUCAUUAUUUCUCUCUCUUUCUCUCUCAUUGUUUUUCUUUCUUUUCUUUCUCUCUCCUUCAAUUUCUCUUUGUCUCUCCUUUUCUCUCUCCUUCUCUCUCAUUGUUUCUUUCUCCUCUUUCUCUUCUUCUCUCUCAUUUUUCUCCUCUUUCUCUCUAUCCUUCUCCCUCAUUGUUUAUUUCUCCUCUUUCUCUCUUUUUUCUCUCCUUCUCUCAUUUUUUUCUUUCUUUUCUUUCUCUCUCCUCAUUGUUUAUUUCUCCUCUUUAUCUCUCCUCUCUCGCUGUUUGUCUCUCUCUCUCUCUCUCUCUCCUCUUUCUCUCUCCUUCUGUUUCUCUCUCUCCUUCUGUCUCAUUUCUCUCUCUCUCUCUCUCUCUCUUCUCUGCAGAUCAAAGCCAUUCAAAGCUCCCUCCCCCAAUAGCUUGUAUUUCACUAUUUGGUGUGCUGAGUGUUUCUCUCCCUGCCCCCCUUUUUAAUCCACAACCAACCACUUCAAGUCUUGUAAAAGGAGCCAAACAGGUGAGGAAAAUGUUUUUAAAAACAUAAAUUAAUGAAAGGGAAACUCUUUCA